rnacentral:rRNA from 1 species
UAUCUCUGUAGAGUCUGCAUAUCAAUAAGCGGAGGAAAAGAAGCUAACUAGGAUUCCCUUAGUAACGGCGAGUGAAGCGGGAAGAGCUCAAAUUUGAAAUCUUCAAGGUUUUACCUUGACGAAUUGUAGUUUAAAGAAGUGUUUUCUGUUGGAUGUUUUGGUAAAAGUUCUUUGGAAUAGGACAUCAUAGAGGGUGAGAAUCCCGUAUUUGACCAUUACUUCCAGCUUUGUGAUACACUUUCAAAGAGUCGGAUUGUUUGGGAAUGCAGUCCAAAAUGGGUGGUAAAUUUCAUCUAAAGCUAAAUAUUGGCGAGAGACCGAUAGCGAACAAGUACCGUGAGGGAAAGAUGAAAAGAACUUUGAAAAGAGAGUUAAACAGUACGUGAAAUUGUCAAAAGGGAAGCGUUUGACACCAGUGUUGUUUUCUCGAAAAUCAAUUAAAAAAAGUUGGAUUUUGUAUUGUUAAGACCUUAUCAGCUUACUGUACUCUUUUCUUGCUUUUUUUAAUGCACUUUUCGUUUAACAAGUCAACAUCAAUUUCUUUUGUUGUAAAAGAGUCAUUGGAAGGUGGCUUUCACUUCGGUGAAAGUGUUUAUAGCCUUUGGCUUCUGCAAUCGGAGAGAUUGAGGUCUGCAGCGUAGAUCCUUCGGGGCUAGAUACGUAGAUGCUAAGUUAUAGUUUUUUAUAGACAACUUGUUGACUAUAAUUAAUCAUGUAGCUUACUCGUUUGCGCUAUUUUACCUACGCUUAGGAUGUUGAAGAUGUAGCACAUCAU